UACGGGGGGGGCAAGCGUUGUUCGGAAUUACUGGGCGUAAAGGGCUCGUAGGUGGCCAACUAAGUCAGACGUGAAAUCCCUCAGCUUAACUGGGGAACUGCGUCUGAUACUGGAUGGCUUGGAUUCGGGAGAGGAAUGCGGAAUUCCAGGUGUAGCGGUGAAAUGCGUAGAUAUCUGGAGGAACACCGGUGGCGAAGGCGGCAUUCUGGACCGAUAUUGACGCUGAGGAGCGAAAGCCAGGGGAGCAAACGGG
rnacentral:rRNA from 1 species